rnacentral:lncRNA from 1 species
CAUGGAGGCCCUCAGGUACCUUUUAUCCUUUCCCAUGCUGGUGAGUCCAUUGUGAGCAGAGUAGGUGCCAGGAGUGGGUGUGUUUCCCUGGAAGGUCAAUGGCUAUUAGGUGAAGGGGGCCCCAUUCACCUGAGGGGGUCUCGGGGUUCUUGGGGGACAUCAUUAAAUUGUGUUGGCCAGGACGGUACGUGGAGUGGAAUUGCAGGCCUGAGACCAGGCAGUUGGCAGAUUGGCAUUCUUUGUCCUGAUGGUCCCUUGACUCUGAAUGUAUCCGUGCACCAACACAUCCCUGUUUGGCUGCCUACACAGCACACCUUCUUGCAGCAAUUGAAUGGUAGACGCCAGAAUGAUUGGCAGUGCUCCCGGAGGCCUGGCCUCUUUCCCCAGUACACCUGGUGCUCUUCCUCACACAUGUGUUUUCUUGCCCCAGGCCAGGUUGAGUGGCCCAAAAUGGAAGACUGUUGGCAACAGGUUACCCAUCGCAUAUUCCAUGAUAGCCAGCCUCUCGAGAUGAAUAUCAUGAAUCCCCAGAGACAACUGGACAAGUGGGCCUUGCGUGUACAGAUGGAACACCCAUGGCGGUGCAUUUGGAGCGAAGGACAACAGUGGCAGAUUUAUGGACCAUCCAACAGUUUUCCUCUCCCAUAAUCAGUUCCUCUGUGGCGGAAUUCCAGAUCCACAAGUGGUUGGUAUCAUGUCCUGUCUUGUCCUGGUGGCCAAUUAUGAGGCAAAGGGGAUGUAUGAGGCAAACAGAAAACAUCUCUCCAUGUUCUCCCUGUGUGCAUAGCAUAAGGUGUGCCUCAGGAUAUCCACAUGUUAUCUCUAUAUCCAGCCCACCUAUCCUUUCCCCAGUUUAGGAGUUUUUCCUGGAAUUCAGUGGGCUGGACCCGGUGAAAACAGAGGAGUCAGUUGCCCACAUAAGCGGAUGCUGUCUUAAGGACAGGAGAGGCUUUCUGUCACAGGGGUCUUUUUGUUUUGUGGCCUGCUGGUGCAGCAACACUGUGGUCUCUUGUGUUCCUAGCCUCAAGCCAGAGACAUCAUCAUGGGUUCAGCAGCUGCAGCUGUUUCUGGAUUCUGUCAUGGCAUGGCUUGUGCUGUCAAGAUGGUCAUGGAUCACGUGGGUCUUGUGUUGUCUCCGGGGCCACUGUAGUGAUGUUUCACUGCCUUAAAAAGUGCAAUACAUCACAAUGAGUAACUUACAUGCUGUAAAAAGGGUGGAGCGCCACAUCUUUGCAUUUCAGAAUAGUUCCAAUGGCCUGUAGUUUUUUGUGUUUUUCAAGCUAAACACUUGUAGCAUGGCUGUAGUCUGGGAAACAAGCACACUUGUGUGCUACCUAGAUUGUUCACAGCUGUACUGUGGAGCCCCUUUGUUGCACAGCCCAAGAACUAGUUUCAUGGAUAAUCUCCUUGUCAAAGGAGGGCCUUAUUCUUAUGCAAGCUCUCAGAUACCUUUGUUCCUUCCCCAUGGUGGUGAGACCAUUUUGAGCAGAGUAGGUACCAAGAGUGUGUUUUCCUGGAGGGACAGUGGUAGUUCAGACAAGGUGGCCUCCUUCCCCUGAGGGUGAAUUGGGGUUUCUUAGAGGUUAUCUUUACAUUGGGUGAAAAAGUUGGCU